rnacentral:misc_RNA from 1 species
GAAAUGCGAUAAGUAAUGUGAAUUGCAGAAUUCAGUGAAUCAUCGAAUCUUUGAACGCACAUUGCGCCCGCCAGCACUCUGGCGGGCAUGCCUGUUCGAGCGUCAUUUCAACCCUCAGAACCCCUUGCGGGAUCUGGCGUUGGGGAUUGGCAUCCAGCCAGCCCCGAAAUCUAGUGGCGGUCCCUCCACGACCUCCCCUGUGCAGUAGCGAUACCUCGCAGCGGGACAGCGGUCUGACCACGCCGUAAAACCCCCAACUUCUCAAGGUUGACCUCGAAUCAGGUAGGAAUGCCCGCUGAACUUAAGC